GUUGCUCGUUUUAUGGGACACGAUAUAAGAGUCCACUGCGAGUAUUAUCGGCAGACAGAUAAAACAUUCCAAGUGGCCAAGAUUGGCAAACUUCUGUUUGCAAUGGAGCAUGGAGCACAGUCACUGAAAGGGAAGAGUCUGCAAACACUGGACUCUGUUAUCAGUGGCAAAGGACAUGCAGCCAGCCCAGCCAAAGGUCUGAAAGAUGUCAGAAAGAGAAGGACGUCAGAUACAGGCAGACAACGGGAAGCUUAUGAUGAUGGAAAACAGCUAUCCACCACAAGUUCAUCAGCUCAGAGGCACAAGAAGACUGUCACAAGACUUAGACAUGAUGGAGAUGAUGAUGACUCUGAUGGAGAGGUGCCACAUUCAGCUGCAGCAAGGUCACUUGCAAAAAGACAAUGGCAGAAGGAAAGAAGAAAACAUGAUGAAGAUGAUGGUGGUGCUGAUGAUGGUGAUCGGAAAGAUGACAACACCAGUGAAGGCACUGAAAACACAGUUGGAGAGUUGCAAGAAGGCACCAACAGAGAGCCACAAAAGAUGACUACAGCAAAAGAAAAACGUGAUGAUGACAGUGAUGAUGACGGUGAUGUGAGUGAUGGCAAGGCUGGUCCAGGCACUGAAAACACAGAUGGCGUGGUGCACCAGGAGACAGGUGGAAGACCACCUGUUAAGCAAACAAAGAGAACUACAGAAAAACAUGAUGAUAAUGAUGAUGAUAGACAGGAGCCACACUCAACUUUAGGAAGCUCAGCUGUUGACCAACCAAAGAGAACUGCAACCACAAGGCAAGCUGAUGGUGACGAUGAAGAUAGCAGUGACUCUGAGUAUGGUAAGCAGAAG